rnacentral:rRNA from 1 species
UACGAGGGGGGCUAGCGUUGUUCGGAAUUACUGGGCGUAAAGCGCACGUAGGCGGCUUUGUAAGUUAGAGGUGAAAGCCCAGGGCUUAACUCUGGAAUUGCCUUUAAGACUGCAUCGCUAGAAUCGUGGAGAGGUGAGUGGAAUUCCGAGUGUAGAGGUGAAAUUCGUAGAUAUUCGGAAGAACACCAGUGGCGAAGGCGACUCACUGGACACGUAUUGACGCUGAGGUGCGAAAGCGUGGGGAGCAAACAGG